CUACAUUAGAUACCCCGGUAGUCCCAGCCGUAAACUAUGCGCGUUAGGUGUAUCGGUGACCACGAGUUACCGAGGUGCCGAAGGGAAACCGUGAAACGUGCCGCCUGGGAAGUACGGUCGCAAGGCUGAAACUUAAAGGAAUUGGCGGGGAGCACCACAACGGGUGGAGCCUGCGGUUUAAUUGGACUCAACGCCGGGAAGCUCACCGGAUAAGACAGCGGAAUGAUUGCCGGGCUGAAGACUCUGCAUGACUAGCUG
rnacentral:rRNA from 1 species